rnacentral:tRNA from 1 species
ACCGAAAUAGCUCAGUUGGGAGAGCGUUAGACUAUAGAUCGAAAGGUCCCUGGUUCCAUCCAGGAUUCGGCA